rnacentral:tRNA from 1 species
GGAGAGGUGGCAGAGCGGUUGAAUGCACCGGUCUUGAAAACCGGCAACGGGGCGACCCGUUCGAGGGUUCGAAUCCCUCCCUCUCCGCCA